GGCCGCGGAGCAGAUGAGGACCAGAGGCUCCCCCGCAAGUGCCCGGCCCUCCGGGGGCUGGGUCUCCAGGAGCACUCCGGACACCGGGACCCCUGCGUGGACACGAGACAGCGGAUGGCUGCGAUCCGCAGUUCCGGGGACCGGCUCCAGUCUGACAGCACGACCCUGCGGUCCCUGAAGAAGCCGAAAUGAAGCACAGUGUCCGGCCGCUCUGGAGGCAGCUGAGUUUCGCAGCUCAGGUUCACAGAACUGCCCUCUGUGGGCUGGGAGGGGGUGACUUUCAGCUUCGGGUGUGGAAACAGUUCUAGAGAGAAGAGGGAAACCAAGGUCUCAGAGGGCGGCCCUGGGGGCCCUGGAGCAGGCGGGCUCGGCUGCUGGGUCCUGGGGAACUUCAGACACAAGGCACGACACGGGCGGACCCCGCCUUCCCCUCUUUCGGGCCCAGCUCGAGUGCAAGGGCCCCGCGGCUCUGCCUGCCGGGGACACGCGUCCCUCGUUACCCAGCGUUGGGACGGCGAUGUGUGGGUGCCCUGUCACACGCUGAGCAAGUCGAUAAUCUGCAUGAAAUGAAAGGUUUACCUUGAAUUUGA